GACGAACGCUGGCGGCGUGCCUAAUACAUGCAAGUUGAGCGCUGAAGGUUGGUACUUGUACCAACUGGAUGAGCAGCGAACGGGUGAGUAACGCGUGGGGAAUCUGCCUUUGAGCGGGGGACAACAUUUGGAAACGAAUGCUAAUACCGCAUAAAAACUUUAAACACAAGUUUUAAGUUUGAAAGAUGCAAUUGCAUCACUCAAAGAUGAUCCCGCGUUGUAUUAGCUAGUUGGUGAGGUAAAGGCUCACCAAGGCGAUGAUACAUAGCCGACCUGAGAGGGUGAUCGGCCACAUUGGGACUGAGACACGGCCCAAACUCCUACGGGAGGCAGCAGUAGGGAAUCUUCGGCAAUGGACGAAAGUCUGACCGAGCAACGCCGCGUGAGUGAAGAAGGUUUUCGGAUCGUAAAACUCUGUUGGUAGAGAAGAACGUUGGUGAGGGUGGAAAGCUCAUCAAGUGACGGUAACUACCCAGAAAGGGACGGCUAACUACGUG
rnacentral:rRNA from 1 species